rnacentral:lncRNA from 1 species
ACGAGGGAGAUGAAGGCAGACCCCUGCGUGUCACACGCAUUGGCACUGAGGGCAGCCUGGGCCCUGGGCAACUACCACCGCUUCUUCAAGCUCUAUUGCCAUGCACCUUGCAUGUCUGGCUACCUUGUGGACAAGUUUGCAGACCGGGAGCGCAAGGCCGCCCUCAAGGCCAUGAUCAAAACCUUCCGCCCUGCGCUGCCCGUCUCCUACCUGCAGGCCGAGUUGGCCUUCGAGGGCGAGGCCGCCUGCCGGGCCUUCCUAGAGCCCUUGGGCCUGUCCUACACGGGCCCGGACAACUCCAGCGUGGACUGCCGCCUCAGCCUGGCGCAGCUGCCAGCCUUCUGAGCACCCAUCGAGCACGGGCGGGGGCAGGGCUGUGGCCCAGCGCCGCCUUUUCAAAUUUUGUUUUUGAGCCAUGGACAUGGGUUGUAAAAAUUUGUGGGGAGUAGGCUCCAGGAAGAGCCAGCAUCCCUACCCCCGUUUCCCACCGGGGACCUGUACAGAGAUUUUUCUACGUUUUUAUUUUUUGUCUCAGAGGGGAUAAUUGGGAGUAUAUAGUGGAGCAGGGUGGGGUGGGGGCUACAGGUUCUGUGUCCACCUCUCACCUCCACUAAUGCUGUCUCAGUGUUUUUUCUCUCUCUCUCUCGA